rnacentral:sRNA from 1 species
UCCCGAAAUUUUCAGUGCCGCCUGGGU